AUGGCCGAAGGAGAGCCUGACUGCAAUGAAUUAAAGAAAUCUGCCUUUAUUGGAGCUGUUUCAUUACUCAGACGUUCUCUUCCAGAUCCAAGCCAAUUCCACACAUGGCAAGAGCUUGUCCAGGCCACUGUUAGAUCCCUGCAUGGGGCAGCUACCACCGACACCGACUCUCCUAUGGAGGCUUCUGAAUAUACUGAAACGGAAAAGCUACUUCUGGCACAGGCUCAAAUGGACUCCUUUCCUAUUAAGGUUAGACAUUUAAAGGCCGGACAUCCUGUUCCACAAAACAGUCUCUUAGGCUCACUUGCUCCUGAAUAUGAUAAUGCCACUGGUCUCAAUAGAGUGGCCGGACAGCUAUGGCGUGCUAGUGACCUCGACCCAGAGGCCAUACACCCAAUUGUAUUAGACCCUAGCCAUCAUAUCACUAAGCUGUUAAUUAAGGAGACCGAUCAACGACUCCUUCACCCUGGCUCAGAAAGGGUUCUGUCAGAACUGCGCCGCCAGUACUGGAUACUUCGAGGCCGAGAAGCAGUUCGUAAACAUCAGCACUGCUGUCGAGACUGUCAGUUCUGGCGCGCCAAACCUCAAACCCCACGUCUGGCAGAUCUACCCCCCUGCAGAUUAAAUCUGUAUAAGCCACCUUUCUAUUCUACUGGCGUUGACUGCUUUGGCCCAUUCACAGUCAAAAUUGGGCGCCGUCAAGAGAAAAGGUGGGGGAUUAUUUACAAAUGCUUAACAACACAUUGUGUGCAUCUGGAUCUGUUGGAGCAUAUGGACAGUGAUGCUUUCCUGCUCUCCCUGCGCCGUUUUAUAGCCCGACGCGGCAAGCCUACGGAGCUGUUGUGCGACAAUGGCACCAACUUCGUUGGAGGUGAUCGGGGGUUACGGGAAUCCUUUGAAGCCAUGUCACCAAAGCUACAGGAACAGCUGGCGGAGCAGAAAAUUCGGUUAAUAAAAUCAGUUAAGGCAGCACUCCGUGUGGUCCUCAGAGAGCAGUCGGUGCCGGAACCAGUACUGCAGACCCUUGUGGUAGAAGUUGAAAGCAUCCUAAACUCCAAGCCACUCGGCUACGUAUCCUCUGAUAUUGCGGAUGUGGACCCUGUGACUCCAAAUCUACUACUAAUGGGUCGUCGAGAUGCCUUGCCACCUCAGGUCUUGUAUGACUCUAACAACCUGCUUAGAAAACGAAGAUGGAGACAUAGCCAGGUGCUGGCUGAUUGUUUCUGGGCUGCCUUUAUUCGCCGAUACCUCCCAGACAGUAGGGAGGUAUCCACAACUACCACGCUCACUCUGGCCUGUAGGAACCAUAACAGAGACCUUACCUGGAGCUGA
ensembl:lncRNA